rnacentral:rRNA from 1 species
CGUAGGGUGCAGGCGUUAAUCGGAAUUACUGGGCGUAAAGCGUGCGCAGGCGGUUUGCUAAGACAGGUGUGAAAUCCCCGGGCUUAACCUGGGAACUGCGCUUGUAACUGGCAAGCUAGAGUGUGGCAGAGGGGGGGUGGAAUUCCACGUGUAGCAGUGAAAUGCGUAGAGAUGUGGAGGAACACCGAUGGCGAAGGCAGCCCCCUGGGCUAACACUGACGCUCAUGCACGAAAGCGUGGGGAGCAAACAGGAUUAGAUACCCUGGUAGUCCACGCCCUAAACUAUGUCAACUGGUUGUCGGGGAAGCAAUUCCUUGGUAACGAAGCUAACGCGUGAAGUUGACCGCCUGGGGAGUACGGCCGCAAGGUUA